GAGCUUGCUCUGGGGGAUUAGUGGCGAACGGGUGAGUAACACGUGAGUAACCUGCCCUUGACUCUGGGAUAACCUCCGGAAACGGAAGCUAAUACCGGAUAUGACGCACGGAGGCAUCUCCUGUGCGUGGAAAGAACUUCGGUCAAGGAUGGACUCGCGGCCUAUCAGGUAGUUGGUGAGGUAACGGCUCACCAAGCCUACGACGGGUAGCCGGCCUGAGAGGGUGACCGGCCACACUGGGACUGAGACACGGCCCAGACUCCUACGGGAGGCAGCAGUGGGGAAUAUUGCACAAUGGGCGCAAGCCUGAUGCAGCAACGCCGCGUGAGGGAUGACGGCCUUCGGGUUGUAAACCUCUUUUAGUAGGGAAGAAGCGAAAGUGACGGUACCUGCAGAAAAAGCACCGGCUAACUACGUGCCAGCAGCCGCGGUAAUACGUAGGGUGCGAGCGUUGUCCGGAAUUAUUGGGCGUAAAGAGCUCGUAGGCGGUCUGUCGCGUCUGCUGUGAAAACCCGAGGCUCAACCUCGGGCCUGCAGUGGGUACGGGCAGACUAGAGUGCGGUAGGGGAGAAUGGAAUUCCUGGUGUAGCGGUGGAAUGCGCAGAUAUCAGGAGGAACACCGAUGGCGAAGGCAGUUCUCUGGGCCGUAA
rnacentral:rRNA from 1 species